AAAUGAACACACUUUCCAGAAGGCCAACAAUUAACUAAAAAUGUUUUAUUUUUUAUUUUUUUUAUUGUUCUUACAUAAACGUUUUGCCUGACAGACAUCAUUCCUGUACACAUAUAUGAUGUUGAUGACAUUUACACUCGUUGAGUAAAAUAUAAAAUUAGUGGAAUGUCAUUUGUUACUGUUGACAGUUACGUAAGACACACGUUUGAAACAUUAACCAUAACAAGAUACAACUGAAAUGCACAGUUUUUAAUUGCUUCUUCUAUUUAACAGAUAUUAACAACUGUAAAGAUGCUUUUUAUGCACAUUUAGUUGUGGAGAUGUGUGGGGGUAAGGCCAUGUUACCUGUAGUUUGAGAACAGACCGCUUGAUGUCGACAAAUACAACAUCUUUAUUGCUUGUUAGCCCUAUUUAAGAUUGUCCACCACCCAGACUUUUUCAUUUCUCCUAAAAGGUGUCUACUUUUUUUUUUCUUUUUUGCCUUUCUCGAAUUUAAAAUUCAUAAUAAUUUCUAAUUAUUUUUUUAUAAUUUCCAAUUAUUUAUUAAUUUAUUUUCAAGUAAAGUUUGGUAUUUAUGUACAGGCUAUUUUUAUUUGUGUUUUAAGAAUAAAUAACUACUUAUACUUAAUAUUAUUAUUAUUAUUAUUAUUAUUAUUAUAUAGAUAUUUCCAUCAAUGUUUUAGAGAAUUUCAUUCUUAGAGGAUUUCAGAAUUUGAAUUCAUAACAAGUUUUAAGUAAUUUUAUACUUUGGUAUUGAUAUAAGCCAAGGUUCAUUCAGAUUUUCCCCCCAAAGUGGAAAAAGUCAUUACUAUCACACAUAAUUACCCACAUACUCUGUAUCAAACUUGAAGGCCAGAUUUCCAGGACAUGACCCCUGCAAGAGCUUCACAGACCCCUGGGGAAGCCCUGCUACAGAGAAAUAUUAAGAAGCUUAAAAAAAAUAAUCAAGGUUCGAGUGCUUUACACAAGUCAUGAAAACAAGUUGAAAUAAUGUGAUAAUUUAUCAAAUAUUGAAACGAUCAAUAUCAUUCCAAUCAGACCCUUGAUCUGUGAUUUGCUUGUUAUGACAUACAAAAGUUAAGUACCCUGGAAUUUGUGCGUUAAGCGUGUAACACCAGCACAAAGCCAAGUGCAAACUUGAGUUGGGAGGUGGAAACAUGCGGGGCUUACCAGGAUAGCGCGCUUAGUGCAGUCACAAGACCCGACCAUCGAUGAACAAAAAAAUCCAGGCUUUAAUUUCACAGCUCAGCUACAUUUAAUAAAGUAUAUUUGGAUAUAUGGAAACUUGAGGUU
ensembl:lncRNA